GAAUGAAUUGGCGGGUAGGGAAUUCUUUCAGAGACGAGGAGGCGGAUUUUCAAAACGCUCGGCUGUCGAUCUGAGAUAAAGCGGGUGCCUCCCGGGGUUCGUCCGUCAAGGGGACGGCUUGCGGGAAACGGGGGAACCGCUCCCCACAGUUGGCGGCUCCUCGGUGGCCAGCGUCGGGGUUACGGAUGUUCAAGGACCGCAGCUACAUUAAUAAGUGAUGGGCAACCGUAAACGAUCCUUAAGAGAGACACUUAAAUGAUGGAACGUUCUGUACCGUGACAUCCUCGGCAGAACAGAAUAUUCCCCAUUAAGGGGAAAGGGUAGACGCGAGAUAUCGAAUAUGGACUUUAAAUAUUUGUAGGUUGUCCUCGCCUCACACCCUCGCAGCCCGGCAGUGUGUGCUCAAAGGUCUUUAAAGAGUGGGGAUUAAAUAUUUGACUCUUUAAGUCCUCUGGAGAAGUGCUGCGACAUUAAAGCCAAGAGGUCAUGUUA